CACAUUCCUUGGAUGCCCUAAGGUCUUUCUAUCUGUUCCAAAAGGUCUUAUACUCACAAGUUCAAGCCCAGUAGCGAUGUCCACAUUAUCAAACUCUGCAUCUCAAUAGAAACCCGGAUAGCAAGGCGUUGAGUUUGUUCUUGAAGCAUUUGCACCAGGAGCAGUCAUCAUCUUGAUAUUCUGGAAUCUCCAUGGAGAAGGAACCUCAGUCUGUGAAUGAAAGGCAGAGCAAACCUCAGAUGCCUUUUGACGAAAUCAAACCAUCCAAUCAGAAACACAGACUGUUGCAGCAGUUUUCACCAUAUUGACCCCAGUCAAACCUAAGAAGCUCAGUGAUAAAAACUGAUUUAUCACAACAAUUCAAGUGGAAAGCCACAUGUCAACAACUACAUGUUGUAUGUUGCCAGCCAAGUUGUAUUGAAAGACAAACAAUACUUUAUGCUCUAUUGUGUAUGUGACCAGCCAAGUUGUAUUCAAAGAAAAAGUCAAAAACAAUAGUUUACGUUUUAUUUUUUAUGUGACCAACCAAGUUGUUUGUAUAGGUCCGUGGUUUAGCAAAGCAUUUAAAGUAUUUUUAAAAGCACACAUAUUGCAUGUCUGUUCAAUGUCUUUGCCUGUAUUAUGAAACUUUCACUACAGAUGUUGAUCCUGAUGAUGAUAAAUAAAUGGGAAAUACAAUGUUAUCAAAGAUUUGUUAAGAUUGCCAAAGCUGUUUAAAUGAUGCUGGUAAUUUGAACAAAAUUGAAAAAAACAUUGGAGUGUUUUCAUGUUAUAAGACAUGUUUCAGUUGUCUGUUUUUAACCCGUUAAUACAGAUAAGCUAAUGAAAAAUAUUUGUUCAAAAAGAUGUAAAAUGUUUACGCUUCAGAUUUUUGUCUAUCAACCUUCUGAAAACAAUACUAGUCAAUUGGCUCAUUUGGGUCGGUAUUCCAUCAUGAAUCUUUUUUAGUAGCAUACUAUGUAUUUCAUGGGAAAAUAAAUAAAUUCUGGGCAAAAUUAUCUACCUUAAAUAAUCGAUUCUGUAUUUACUACUGGUACUUUGUUGAUUUCAGUGGAUAUUGUUUGUUAAAUGAUUAUAGUAUGACUCUUGUUGAAAAGCUUUAAAUGAAACUGUGAAUUAAAAAAUAAAUAUUUAAUUUGUUUUAGAGUUUAAUGAAAAAUGGCAAAAGAUUGAUAAGUUGUGUUGUUAUAUCAUAUACUAACAUGGUCAUAAGUGUUAAAAUUUGUUUUCAGACGUAAAAGUUUAUUAUGCUUUAUAUUUGUAUAUGUACAUAAAGACGACCAGAUUGUAUCCUCUUUAAUCAGUGAGUAACUUAAUCAAGAUUUCUUGAUCACUGUUUCAAGUGUAUAUUUUGCCAUUUAUAAGUAGAUCAACUGUAAAACAAUUGUAUUUUAAAUGUAAUGUAUUCAUGUAUUGUUGCCAUUUUUAUGUCCCCCACUAUAUUAGUAGGGGACAUAUUGUUUUUGCCCUGUCUGUUGGUUGGUUGGCCUGUUGGUUGGUCUGUUGGUUGGUCUGUUGGUUUGUACCAACUUUAACAUUUGCAAUAACUUUUGCAAUAUUGAAGAUAGCAACUUGAUAUUUGGCAUGCAUAUGUAUCUCAUGAAGCUGCACAUUUUGAGUGGUGAAAGGUCAAGGUCAUCCUUCAAGGUCAAAGGUCAAAUAUAUGGGUCAAAAUCGCUUAUUUAAUGUACACUUUUGCAAUAUUUCAAUAUUCAAGAUAGCAACUUGAUAUUUGGCAUGCAUGUGUAUCUCAUGGAGCUGCACAUUUUGAGUGGUAAAAGGUCAAGGUCAUCCUUCAAGGUCAGAGGUCAAAUAUAUGUGGCCAAAAUCGCUCAUUUCAUGAUUACUUUUGCAAUAUUGAAGAUAGCAACUUGAUAUUUGGCAUGCAUGUGUAUCUCAUGGAGCUGCACAUUUUGAGUGGUCAAGGUCAAGGUCAUCCUUCAAGGUCAAAUAUAUGGGUCAAAAUUGCUUAUGUAAUGUCACUUCUGCAAUAUUGAAGCUAGCAAUUUUAUAUUUGAAAUGCAUGUGUAUCUCAUGUAGCUGCACAUUUUGAGUGGUGAAGGAUCGAGGUCAAGGUCAUCCUUCAAGGUCAAACGUCAUAUAGGGGGACAUUGUGUUUCACAAACACAUCUUUUUUUCUACCGGUAUAUGAUGCCCAGCAAAGUACAUACAAAGUCUAUGACUGUAAGUUAGAAUUUGCCAACCAAGUAAUAGGAACAGUCAAUGUUUGGCUACAAAAUGAUCCUGAUGUUUUUUCAGUUAAUCAGUUACAUUAUUAGUUGGCAUCUGUAUUAUUGUGGUAUCUCUGCUAAAAAAUUGUGUGUGUAAUAGCCAAUUUCGGCCGCAGUCCCCCACCUGAAAAGUAUACUUUUUUCCCCUUUUGGGGGAAAGAAUUCGCCCUGAAAAAGAAUUUUUAUGUCCCCCACUAUAGUAGUGGGGAACAUAUUGUUUUUGCCCUGUCUGUUGGUUGGUCUGUUUGCGCCAACUUUAACAUUUUGCAAUAACUUUUGCUAUAUUGAAGAUAGCAACUUGAUAUUUGGCAUGCAUGUGUAUCUCAUAGAGUUGCACAUUUUGAGUGGUGAAAGGUCAAGGUCAUCCUUCAAGGUCAGAGGUCAAAUAUAUAUGUGGCCAAAAUCGCUCAUUUUAUGAAUACUUGUGCAAUAUUGAAGAUAGCAACUUGAUAUAUGGCAUGCAUGUGUAUCUCAUGGAGCUGCACAUUUUGAGUGGUAAAAGGUCAAGGUCAUCCUUUAAGGUCAGAGGUCAAAUAUAUGUGGCCCAAAUCGCUUAUUUUAUGAAUACUUUUGCAAUAUUGAAGAUAGCACCUUGAUAUUUGGCAUGCAGGUGUAUCUCAUGUAGCUGCACAUUUUGAGUGUUGAAAGGUCAAGGUCAUCCUUCAAGGUCCUCAUCCUUCAAGGUCAAAGGUCAAAUAUAUGGGUCAAAAUCGCUCAUUUAAUGUACACUUUUGCAAUAUUUCAAUAUUCAAAAUAGCAACUUGAUGUUUGGCAUGCAUGUGUAUCUCAUGGAGCUGCACAUUUUGAGUGGUGAAAGGUCAAGGUCAUCCUUCAAGGUCAGAGGUCAAAUAUAUGUGGCCAAAAUCGCAAAUUUCUGAGUACUUUUGCAAUAUUGAAGAUAGCAACUUGAUAUUUGGCAUGCAUGUGUAUCUCAUGGAGCUGCACAUUUUGAGUGGUGAAAGGUCAAGGUCAUCCUUCAAGGUCAAAUAUAUGGGUCAAAAUUGCUCAUGUAAUGUCACUUCUUCAAUAUUGAAGCUAGCAAUUUUAUAUUUGACAUGCAUGUGUAUCUCAUGGAGCUGCACAUUUUGAGUUGUGAAGGGUCAAGGUCAAGGUCAUCCUUCAAGGUCAAACGUCAUAUACAAGGACAUGAUGUUUCACAAUGGUCUGUUGGUUUGCGCCAAUUUUAACCAUUGCAAUAACUUUUGCAAAAUUGAAGAUAGCAACUUGAUAUUUGGCACGCAUAUGUAUCUCAUGGAGCUGCACAUUUUGAGUGGUGAAAGGUCAAGGUCAAGGUCAUCCUUCAGGGUCAAAGGUCAAAUAUAUGGGUCAAAAUCGCUCAUUUAAUGUACACUUUUGUAAUAUUUCAAUAUUCACGAUAGCAACUUGAUGUUUGGCAUGCACGUGUAUCUCAUGGAGCUGCACGUUUUGAGUGGUGUAAGGUCAAGGUCAUCCUUCAAGGUCAGAGGUCUAAUAUAUAUGGCCAAAGUCGCUCAUUUUUAAGGUCAUAUUUCAAGGUCAAAGGUCAAAUAUAUGGGAGGACAUAGUGCUUCACAAGCAAAUCUUGUUAUAAGAUAAACUCACUGUUAACAUUACUUUGUACAAGCCAUUGUUAUAAAAAUCAUUUCUUGUGUCAAUGCUAAAAUAUGUAUUAAAUUGUUAAAAUAAUGCACAGUAACAACUUCUGAAGAGAAAAAUAUACUUAAGGCAAUAGAAACACAUUGUUAUAUGAAAUGCUUUUUAUUAAGAACACCUACUUAAAAUUUGUUUAAUUUUGUUUUACAUUAUCUGAAGAAAAAAUAGUACCUUGUAAUUUGAAAUCAGUCAAUGAAAAAUUAAGGGAGUGUUGCCAUAUGCUAACAAUAGUCAAGAAGUGCAAUUGUCUCUAUUGGUAAUACAACAGAGCAAUACAAUUUGCUUAAACAAGAUUACAGCAUAAAGGGUGCCAUUCUUGGCUACGGGUGCAGUUUUGAAUACCAACCAAGCAGUGGUCUAAUGGUAAGAUGCUGGCUUAGGGAUCGAGAGGUCCCGGGUUCGAAUCCCGCCCUGACCGCUGGAAUUUCCUUGAGCAAGAAAUUUAUACCACAACUGCUCCUCUCCACCUAGGUGUAUAAAUGGGUACCUGUGAGGGAAAUAAGCCAAUGUGCCGUGACUGCAUACUGCGCCAAGAUGUUAACGGACGACUUAUGACCCAGUGAUCAGGGAAAAACUGUAAAGCGCCUUUGAACGCACAUCUCGAGUAUGAAAAGGGCGCUAUAUAAAUGUGGUAUAAAAAAAAAAGAAUAAAUGAAAGCUUAUCAGAAUUAAUUUGAGAAGUCACAGUGACUUGACCAUUGACCUAGUGACCCCAAAACUGGUGUGGUGUGUAGAACUCAUCAAUGUGCAUCUACAUAUGAAGUUUGAAAGUUGUAGUUGGAAGCACUUUGAUUUUAGAGCCAAUGUUAAGGUUUUAGCACGACGCAGACGGCGGACGACACGACGAACUGGCUACGACAAUACCUCGGGUUUUCUCCGUUUAUACCGAGCUAAAAAUAAAAACUAAGAUGUCUGCUUUGCAAUUUCUUCAAAAAAUAGACACUUAUGAAUGUGCUUAUAUUAAACGUGAACAGUAUUGACAUAUUGCUUACGAUAACGUUUGACAUUUUAUUAGUUUUGUAAUAGCGUGUUUGACCUUUCGCAUUGACCAUCCCACAAUCCCACAUUUGCUUACAGUGGGGCCAGGUUCUGUAAAUCUUCCACAACAAGUUCAGCAAAUGUUUUAUGACCAGAUUUCCUCAUAUUUGGGAGUGUUUAUAUUUAACUUUUAUUGAAUGCAUAAAACACGUUUGUUCUGUUUUUGAAUAGCUGAAAAUAGCUUGAUGUUUGUAAAUUGUGUGACAUGUUGAUCAAAUUGAUACAUAGAAAAAAAAACAUUUUGCAUUUAUUUGUAUUUGUAGCUAAGCAACACUUGUUACCAAAUACAAAUUUAAGUAUUUGGUAUAAAUAUAUAAUGAUUUGCUAUAUUCGUAAUAUCGUAUGAAAUGCAAUUUUAAUUAUAAUGUGUUAAUAUGUUUGUCGACUCCAAAUAAUUAUUGUAUAUAAGUAAAUAUAGGGUAAAAAUGUCUAUGGAAAGUAUCCGUAGGCACGUUUCAAUUGCUUGUGUACCUCAUAUGGAUCAGGGUCUUUCUAAAUUAUUGCAUGAGUGUUAAUGCCUAUGUCUGAUUGUGUAAAUAUCUUCAAAUAUAUUUGUUAAGAGGAUUUUAAUAUUAAAAGAUAAACUAGUAUCUAAACUUUAACCGUGCAUCUUUUGCAUUUAUUUUAACGUGUUUAUAUUGUUUGGCUUACAGAGUUUAAUAUUGUCUAUAUUCGUGCGUACUUUUAUUGUGAUUGAUUUGGUAAGACAAAGUGCAUAUCACUAAUGCUGUUGUUUUUGUUUUAUGUUAUAUGUAAAUAAUUAAACAUGUUUUUUUGGUGAUAUGUAUUUCCAAAUCUAAGUGUGUUGUUGCAUUCUCAAUAAAGUACAUAGCCAUACACGUGGAAUAGUAUUGCUAAGUGACAAUUUGUUGUCUUUACAAAUAAAAUCCGCAAGAAUUGUCGUUUCAAUUAUAUAUAGCUUUCCCCUAUUGAACCUGGGUAAAAACGUGACCGUGAGCUCAUUUUGUUUUAUGUUGACUGCCAAUAUAAUUAUAUAUAUAUAUAUAUAUAUAUAUAUAUAUAUAUAUAUAUAUAUAUAUAUAGAGAGAGAGAGAGAGAGAGAAAGAAAUUGUUCAAAAGGUGUAUCUUAUACCCUAGCGCUUUCGACUACACGUCUUCUUCAGGGGUGUAUACAGAUAUAUAUGAGUCCCCAGUGCGAAUGCACAAUAGAGGUUAACUUAUUGGCUUUCAGUCUUUGUUUUUUUUAGUUAUAUGUCGUUUUAUAUUUUUUAUUUUUUAUUUAUGCAUAUUAAAAUUGUGUUAUAGACUGACGCCCGUAAUAUAAUUUAUAUCGAUGUUAUAAUAAAAAAUAUUAUAAUUUGCAGUGAACGUUUUGCAUUCAGUAUUGUGUCAUAUUUAUGCCCCCCUUCGAAGAAGAGGGGGUAUAUUGCUUUGCACAUGUCGGUCUGUGGGUCCAUCCACCAGGUGGUUUCGGGAUGAUAACUCAAGAACGCUUGUGCCUAGGAUCAUGAAACUUCAUAGGUUCAUUGAUCAUGACUCGCAGAUGACCCCUAUUGAUUUUGAUGUCACUAGGUCAAAUGUCAAGGUCACAGUGACCCGAAAUAGUAAAAUGGUUUCCGGAUGAUAACUCAAGAACGCUUAGGCCUAGGAUCAUGCAACUUGAUAGGUAGAUUCAUCAUGACUCGCAGAUGACCCCUAUCGAUUUUCAGGUCACUAGCACAAAGGUCAAGGUCACAGUGACCCGAAAUAGUAAAAUGGUUUCCGGAUGAUAACUCAAGAACGCUUAUGCCUAGGAUCAUGAAACUUCAUAGUACAUUGAUCAUGACUCGCAGAUGACCCCUAUUGAUUUUAAGGUCACAAGGUCAAAGGUCAAGGUCACGGUGACCAGAAAUAGUAAAAUGGUUUCCGGAUGAUUACUCAAGAAUGCUAAUUGCUACGAUCAUAAAACUUCAUAGGUACAUUGAUUAUGACUCGCAGAUGACCCCUAUCGAUAUUGAGGUCACUAGGUCAAAGGUCAAGUUCACGGUGACCCGAAAUAGUAAAAUGGUUUCCAGAUGAUAACUGAAGAACGCUUAUUCCUAGGAUCAUGAAACUUGAUAGGUAGAUUGACCAUGACUCGCAGAUGUCCCGUUUUGAUUUUCAGGUCACUAGGUUAAAGGUCAAGGUCACGUUGACUCGAAAUAGUAAAAUGGUUUCCGGAUGAUAACUCAAGAACGCUUAUGGCUAGGAUCAUGAAACUUGAUAGGUACAUUGAUCAUGACUGGCAGAUGAGCCAUAUUGAUUUUCAGGUCGCUAGGUCAAAGGUCAAGGUCACAGUGACAUAAAACAUAUUCACACAAUGGCUGUCACUACAACAGAGAUCCCAUAUGGGGGUCAUGCAUGUUUUACAAACAGCCCUUGUUAUUUUUCGUUUUAUGAUUAUGUACAUACACUUAUUAUAAUUGUGUGUUAUAAAAUGGCGCUUAAAAUGUUUAUUAUAUCGAUAUAACGUUUAAAUGAUUAAAAUGGAAGUUAGAAUUUA